GUGUGUUCUUCUCAUUCCCUGAGAGGAAAAAGGCAAAAGUGUUGCAUUUCUGUUUGGGGAUAUGUUUAAGGAUAUCGAUGGGGCAGUUCUCCCAGGUUGGGAUGCUGGGCUUUGCCCACAGCCAUCACCGUCCGUAUUAAUGGCAACAAAUUGUGCUCCUGGUUACCUGAGUACCACUCUGCCCAUUUAAACAGAGCUCAUUGUGAGGGGAAGCUGGGUUUAGCCAUAAUUUUCUUCUGCUCUCAGAUUGCUGCAGUCUGAAGGAAGCAGCAUACAUUUAAUGGGAGCUGAGCCACACGAGGGGCAGGAGCUUUCUACCAAUGAGAAUCACAUUAAAUAAUUAAUUCCCAAUUGCCUCUGUACAUUAGUGCUCUCAGCUACAAAAGCCAUUCAGCUCCGUGAGGCCCCAGGCUCUGAGCAUGUGGUGUAGCAGCAGCCCCAAAGCUGGGGCAGCAGAUUGCCAGGGCACCAGGAACGGUGCAGCUCUGCCCUGUACCGUUGGCAUAUCCAGAUGUGCAGCUCUGCUUUGCACCACUUGGCACAUCCACAUGUGCGUCCUUUUCAUUCCCCCAUCAUCUGCAUUGUUCACAUUUGAUGGGAUGGCAUUGCUUCCAAGGGGUGGCUGAGGAAGCCGGAUGUGUAUUUAUUUCGCCCGAAGUGGGGCAGCUGAAUGCUUGAGCCUAAAACCUGAGCACACAAAAGCAGCAUGUGGGUCCCUUAUCAGCAGAGCCUAUCGGAGCAGCUCAUAAGGAAAGGAAUGGAUUCCUGUUCCUCCUCUAUUUGUCCCCCUUGCCCCACCUGCUGGUCCCCCAAGCAGCCCAGGGUCAGACUGGGAGCUUUUCAGUGACUCCAGUUAUUACUAGAAACUUAAUGCCUCCUAUUUCGUGAUUGGGUUGGAUGGGAUCUUAAAGCCCACACAGUUCCAAUCCCUGCCAUGGGCUGGUUGGCCCUUGCUGGCUCAGGCUAUCCAGGGCCCCAUCCAGCCUGGCCUUUGGCACCUCCAGGGAUGGGGCACCUCCAGCUCUCUGGGCAGCAGUGCCAGCUAUUCCCCGGCACACCUGUGAGCCCUCUGUUCCCUUUCUUGAGGAAGUGAGGGCAGAGCUUUGUCACUCAGCACAACAGAUGAUACGUGAAGAAGCAGCAUAGCUGAAUCAUAGAAUCACAGAACAUCCCAAGUUGGAAGGGACGCAUAAGGAUCAUUGAGUCCAACUUGAUUUGAAUGGAGCUCUGAGGUCCCAAACUCCAAUGGCACCGCAGUGAUUUACAGCUGUAAUACUUUGAUCCAGGGCACGUUGCACCGUGGGACACGUGGGAGCUGGGAGAGAGGACUGCAAAGUGAAGACUCCAUUGGUGGCCAUGGCCAUUUUGGGAGGAUGUGAGCACAGCCAGAUUGGAUUUCUCAUUAUGGAGAAGAAAAUUAAUCCACAUAGCAUGCAGACUCGCCAGGCAGUGCAGUGAGAGUGCGAGGGAGAUGGCCGUGUAUCUCUGCUGGUGACUGAGCAUUGCACCGUGCCCUCCUGCACCCAGGCCAGCACUGCGAACGGCUUGGGUUGGAAGGGACCUCAAAGACCAUCUAUUUCCAGCCCCCCAGCUCAGUGACAUUUACCUUCAGGUCUCUGCUUGGGAGAAUGAAUGCUUUGGAGUGCUGAUGGAGCAGGGUUCGAAGCGUUCCCUGGCACAAAACAUGUGCUGAACGUUUCAUUUCCCACCACCGCUGGGGUUGGUCUCAUCUCCCUUAUCAGCAGUAACUCCACUGAGCACCAUUUGUCACCACUGGGAGCCAUUUGCUCGUGGUAAACUGAUUUAAGGACAGGCACAGGAUGCUGCAGGGAUCCUGCCUGCUUUGUCUGGGGCUGUGACUGAGAAUUUGCUUGAACUGCUUAAAAACAGAGUGAGCCUUAGGUUCGAAGAAGCACAUUUGCCUUUUGCUUUGUAUUUAUUAAAUGCAAUAUACCAAUAUUUAUGUGUAUUAUGGUCUGGAGACCUUCAGUAUGUCCUUUUUUUUCUUUCUUUUUUUCUUCUUUCUUUUCUUAUUUGUCUUUUUCAACUAGGAACUCAAUUUUCAGACUAGUAGGAAGCUGUGGCCGUAAAACCUCCUUCCUACUUCCCCUCUCUCACCAGUUACUAAAUACUGCAAAGUUCAUAAAUUGAGAAAGUUGGCAAAUCAGAGCACUGCUUCAUUUUGAGACAGGGCUGGGGCUGUGAGACUGCCAUUCUGUGCUGCCUGGGACAUAUCCCUGCUGAUGGAGAUGCUGGGAUGUGCUCAGUUGCCCAAACUGUGGAUAGGGAACAGCUGGAUGUAAAGGUGGAGUCAUGGGAUCAUCAUGGAAUCAUUAAGGUUGGAAAAGAUCAUGGAGUUCACCAAGUCCAACCCCAGCCCACCCCCACCAUGCCCACUGCCCACGGCCCUCAGUGCCACAUCUCCAUGGCUCUGGAACACCUCCAGGGAUGGUGAUCCCACCACUCCCUGGGCAGCUGUGCCACUGCAUCACCACUCUCAUAGAGAAGAAGUGUUUCCUAUUGCUAGAAACAAGGGCCACCUGGCUUCCUGCCUGGUGGGAGCGAGGUGCCCAUGCCUUCUAUGUGCAGCUGCUGUCACGAUAGCUGGAAACGGGCUGCUGCCAGCAGUAUGCUCCCACAUGGAACCAC
rnacentral:lncRNA from 1 species